CACUCCUACGGGAGGCAGCAGUGGGGAAUUUUGGACAAUGGGCGAAAGCCUGAUCCAGCAAUGCCGCGUGAGUGAAGAAGGCCUUCGGGUUGUAAAGCUCUUUUGUCAGGGAAGAAACGGUGAAAGCUAAUAUCUUUUGCUAAUGACGGUACCUGAAGAAUAAGCACCGGCUAACUACGUGCCAGCAGCCGCGGUAAUACGUAGGGUGCAAGCGUUAAUCGGAAUUACUGGGCGUAAAGCGUGCGCAGGCGGUUUUGUAAGUCUGAUGUGAAAUCCCCGGGCUCAACCUGGGAAUUGCAUUGGAGACUGCAAGGCUAGAAUCUGGCAGAGGGGGGUAGAAUUCCACGUGUAGCAGUGAAAUGCGUAGAUAUGUGGAGGAACACCGAUGGCGAAGGCAGCCCCCUGGGUCAAGAUUGACGCUCAUGCACGAAAGCGUGGGGAGCAAACAGGAUUAGAAACCCCAGUAGUCCC
rnacentral:rRNA from 1 species